rnacentral:tRNA from 1 species
GCGAUUAUGGUUCAGAGGUAGAAUUCUCACCUUCCAUGUGGGGAGAUCCAGGUUCGAUUGCUGGCCACUGCA